UAUUAAAUAUUAUUUUGGCAGAUUAGUGCAAUGAAUUUAGAUUUCAUAAAAGUAAAUAUUUUACAAGUAAUAC
rnacentral:tRNA from 1 species